GGUAAAAUGGCUGACAAUAGGCAAUAAAUUGUAAAUUUAUGCAUGAAUAAAUAAUUCUUUUACCA
rnacentral:tRNA from 1 species